AAAGAAUAUUAGGAAAUAAUUCUGCACUACACUAUUGCCCCAUUUUUUCCAUAUUUCUCUCAAAUGCAAGAACACUGGACAAACAACUGGUGCUGGCUACAUAUGGAUGCAAUCUGGGUUUCAGAAUACAUAAUGACACAAAGCAGAGGUGUAAUCUAUUCCAAAUGGGCCAUCAUCUGGAUAUUGGAAAUGCCAUGCCAUAAACACUGUUCCCUUGUCUUAUAGGAUGUUAUAUAGGGUUGAAUGCAGAUGAAAGCCUAAAUUUAUAUCAUGCACCAAAGCAUAAAAUGAAUGUUAACCUUCUAAGUGCUCCUUUUUUCAUUGUCAGAUUCUGUUAACUGCCUGUCUUCUAAUGGCAGUGCCACUAACAUCUUUAAUGCUUUGGCUAUUUGAGGACCCUUGUCAUUUCUCUCCGUCAACAAAAAAGUGGGUGUGAAACUUAAAAUUCAAAGGAACUUUAGGAAUCCUUUAGUUCACGCAACCUCACUUCAUAAAGAAGUAGGGAAAGGGGAAGGUAUAACCUCAUGGAUCCUAGUAAGGGGUAGAUGAGCCAGGAAUUGACUCUGUUGACUUCUAAGAUAGGCUAACUUGUAUGCUGCUGUCUUGAUUUUCAGAAAAUACCUUUUUUGACUUAUCCUGAGUCUCUUCCUUGCGGAGAACUGGUUGCGUCAACAUGUCUUCGUAACCAGAGUGAGAAAUUCAGUGGGACAACAAGAUCUUAUUUUGAGUAUGCUGUUUAGCAAAAACUCCUUCAGUGAAAUUCCUGAAUUGCCUUUCACUACAUUUGGGUUCAAGAUGUGGAAGAAAGUUCCCAAAGGAGCCCAUGCACUUGUAGCCCCUACCUGGACCCCCAGGAAGUGGAAGGUGCCCACCAACUCACAGGACGGAGGAGGAUAGUCAGAUGAGACUGACCCUGAAGCGAUUAAAUGGCAAUUUUCAGAGGAAAAAAAUUGAGAAAAUCUUGAAAGAUUUUCUCCAUUUGGAGCAUUUUUUAUUUUGUGGAAAGAAGAAGGCAAAAGUCCAAAUCCUGGGCAACCAGAUUCCAAGCCACAUCCUGAUAUCCACGCAGGGAGGUAAAACCCAGAAGCAAAACAGAGAUUUACCUUCUAAGCGAUGCAAAGCAGGAGGCAGUGUACUGCUUGCAAAAAUCCAUAUGACAAUCACCGUGCAAGUACUUUGUCUAUACAACAGGCCAGCAUAAUUCAAGGAAUCUCACGAAGAUCAAGAAGAUUGGCUUCAUUUAGCAACCCACCCAAAGGCUCUGACAGUUCAAGCUCUUCUUUUCAAAUUAUGAGUAUGUUCUUGUGUUGACUUUGUGGACUCAAAGAAUCUGACUGGCUCAGUGAUGUAAAAGAAACCUUUCUCAUCAUGUUAGAAGGAGCUGGAGAGCCACAUACGGCAGACAUGCCUGUAAUCUCAGUACUCAGGGGGCUGAGGCUAAAGAAUCACGAGUUCAAUCUCAGCCUGGGCUACAUUGCAAGUUCAAGGCCAGCCUGAAGUACAUAGUGAGACCCAGCCUCAAAAAACAAAAAUAAAACAAAAGACUAAAAAAAAAGUAUGAACUUGAAAAAUGUACAUUUUAUUUGUCCUUAUAAACAUGGCUAAUUUUUUGUUUAUCUUUCAAAUAUUAAUAAAUGUAGUGGGUGUCAGG
rnacentral:lncRNA from 1 species